GACGAACGCUGGCGGCGUGCUUAACACAUGCAAGUCGAACGGAAAGGCCCUGCUUUUGUGGGGUGCUCGAGUGGCGAACGGGUGAGUAACACGUGAGUAACCUGCCCUUGACUUUGGGAUAACUUCAGGAAACUGGGGCUAAUACCGGAUAGGAGCUCCUGCUGCAUGGUGGGGGUUGGAAAGUUUCGGCGGUUGGGGAUGGACUCGCGGCUUAUCAGCUUGUUGGUGGGGUAGUGGCUUACCAAGGCUUUGACGGGUAGCCGGCCUGAGAGGGUGGCCGGCCACAUUGGGACUGAGAUACGGCCCAGACUCCUACGGGAGGCAGCAGUGGGAAAUAUUGCACAAUGGGCGGAAGCCUGAUGCAGCAACGCCGCGUGCGGGAUGACGGCCUUCGGGUUGUAAACCGCUUUCGCCUGUGACGAAGCGUGAGUGACGGUAAUGGGUAAAGAAGCACCGGCUAACUACGUG
rnacentral:rRNA from 1 species